GUAAUGUUCAUAGAAUGCUUAGAAUAUUUUUUAGAGUCUACGUCGGCUUUGCUACAACAGCAAUCUUUCGUUACAAGGUUCUGAAUAGAUUACUGAGUAUCUUGACUUUCGUUUUGCAUUUUAAUAAUAUUGUUUCACUGUUUUAUUCAUUAGAUCUAUUAAAUAUGAGUUUGUUGAUUGUUUUUGCUUUCGUUUCAUCUAAAAUAAUGUUAGCGUAGAAACCCUAGUUCUUGAUUCAACGAAUCAAGAAAAUGUAGUUCAUGAAAAUACUCUGGGAUACACGUAGACCCUUUGCAUGGAUUUCGAAGGCACAUGCGUAGGGAUCUACUAUUUUAAAUCCAUUUUAACUUGUUUCGAAAAUGAAAAUAUUUAACCAUAUUCAUUUGAAAUCAUUGGUAUUGGUUUUCGAGUAUAAUUUUCUAAAUAUUUUUGGACAAGGUUAAAAUACUUCUUGAAUAGAACUCUGAUUCCGUUUGUUUGAAAAGUUUUCGAAAACAAAGACCUUUAACCAUAUUUGUUUGAAAUCGCUAGUACUGGUUUUUGAUUCAAACAUUGAUUUAUAUUUUUGAGCAAAUUAAAAAUAGAGUUUGAGAUCAAUUUUGAUUUCAAUUUUUUGGAAACUUUCGGAAACAAAAAUCUUUAACCAUAUUCAUUUGAAAUCGCUGGUACUGGAUUUUGAUUUAUAUGUUCUUAAUAAUUCUCAAAUAAAACCGAAUUUCAAUUUUGAAAGUAAACAGCCCAAAGUAAAGUAGUGAACUAUCUUGGCUUGCAAGUUGAAUCAAGGACUUCUUCAUUAUUGAUUUCAUUAUUCAAGUUUGUUAUUUAAUUUUAUUUAUGAGUAAAUUUAUUUGCUUAAUUUAGAAUAGAUGGUUUGCUUGCACUUUAAAAUUAAAUUGAAUUUCUUUACUUAAUAUUUAAGUCAUUUAGAACUUAAAUAAAAACUGUGUAAUAAAUUUUGUGAACAAGUCUAGAGCUUUUAACCAAAUCCUCCAUGUGGAGAUGACCUCGGUACUCACCGAGUUUAAAACAAUGACUACCCUCUUACACUUGAGAAGUAGAACCCUUAACACAUUUCAGGGUCGGUCAAGCGACUGAUGGUAACGUUAGGGAUUCUAGAGACGUUGACGGGGGCCUUAGAAAGAGUUAUCGUUUCGAUUUAAUAGCCCCCCACCUUGGAAACGGCUCAACCGGAGAUAGGGUCCAGAGACUAGAAGAGCACCGCACAUCAUGUGGUGUUCACUGUGCCUCGGGCAGCCCUUCAAAAUUCUAAGGAUCGAGUGCCUCCCACGCCUAAUCGUACUCACAACUACAUCAGGUCUUCAAGGUGAACAACCUCUGGACAAUGGAACAAUGUAGGCAAUGGAAAUUGAUAAAAUGGAUCUAUAACUUUGGGAAAAGGUUUGGCUUUGAAGGUUGGGCAUGGGGGCCCCAGUCCCAAACCCAUCGACUGUCGAUGGACUACUCGAGCUGCUCCUGCCACGAGAGUAGGUCACAGCGUGCCGACCACAGGACAGACUGGGAGCAGCUCCUCACGGGGUCUUCUCUAGGCGUCUAAUAGUUGACUCAGAACUAGCACAGACAAGGGGAAUCCGACUGUUUAAUUAAGACAAAGCAUUGUGAUGGGAUGCUUAUGCAAUGUGAUUUUUGCGAUCUGCUAUAAAUGUCAAAAUGAAGAAAUUCAACCAACUGUGGGUAACCAACUGGAUAACUAUGACUCUCUUAAGGGAGCCAAAUAUCUUGUCAUCUAAUUAGUGACGUGCAUGAAUGGAUUAACGAGAUUCCCACAGUCCCUAUCUACUAUCUAGCGAAACCACAAAUAAGAAAAUGAGCUUGGUAGAAUUAGCGGGGAAAAGACGUUGUUGAGCUUGACUCUAGUCUGACUUUGUGAAACGACUUGAGAGGUGUAGGAAAAGUGAGAGCUGGAAAUCAUGAAAGUAAAAUACCUCUACUUUUAAUGUUAUUUUACUUAUAUCAUGAGUCAAAGGUGGGGCACUACCCUCUUUUUGGACUGGAGGCCUGCCUUGGUGAGCCGAUCUUGGCGGAAGACAUUGUCAGGUGGGGAGUUUUGCUGGGGUGGCAUAUUUGUUAAAAGAUAACGCAGGUGUCUUAAGACAAGCUCAACGAGAGCAGAAAUCUCGUGGGGAAUAGAAGGGUAAAAGCUCAUUUGGUUUUGUCUUCCAGUAUGAAUAGAAACUGUGAAAGCAUGGCCUAAGGAUCCUUUAGACCUUCGAAAUUUGAAACUGGAGGUGUCUAAAAAGUAACCAUAGAAAUAACUAGCUUGUGGCAUCCAAGCGUUCAUAACGAUGUUUCUUUUUCAUCUUUCGAUGUCGGCUCUUCCUGUCAUUGUGAAGCAAAAUUCACCCAAGUGUUGGAUUGUUCUCCCACCAAUAGGGAACAUGAGCUAGGUUUAGACCAUCGUGAGACAGGAUAGUUUUACCUUACUGAUGAUGGUGUCACAAUAGUAAUUCAACCUAGUACGAGAGGAAUCAUUGAUUCACACAAUUGGUCACCGUGUUUAGUUGAAAAGCCAGUGGCGUGAAGCUACCCUGCGCUGGAUUAUGACUGAACACCUCUAAGUCAGAAUUUGGGCUAGAAGUAUGCGUGUGCCCGCCGUUCGUUUACCGACCAGCAGUAGGUGUCAUUCAGCCCCUAAAGGCAUGUGUUGUUGGUGAAAUUUACGUGAAGAACGAGCCGCGUGGGCCGCCUUAAAGUAUAUUCCUAUCGAACGACAAGUAGAAUCAUUUGCAAAUGACUUAAAUAUGUGACGGGGUAUUAUAAGUGGUAGACUGGCCUUGCUACCACGAUCCACUGAGAUUCAACCCUUUGUCGCUUCGAUUGAUCUCUCCCCCUAGCA
rnacentral:rRNA from 1 species